rnacentral:rRNA from 1 species
UACGUAGGGGGCAAGCGUUGUCCGGAAUCAUUGGGCGUAAAGAGCGCGUAGGCGGCCCUGUAAGUCCGCUGUGAAAGUCAAGGGCUCAACCCUUGAAUGCCGGUGGAUACUGCCGGGCUAGAGUCCGGAAGAGGCGAGUGGAAUCCUGGUGUAGCGGUGGAAUGCGCAGAGUAUCAGGAGGAACAGCCGAUGGCGAAGGCAAUCCCCUGGACCUGUACGUGACGCUCCAUGCACGAAAGCGUGGGGAGCAAACAGGGAUA